UCGAUUGUUGCUGUUAAUCUAGCUUAUACUCUUGUUGGUAUGGGUGCUAGAGUUGGUAUUUUCGAUGCUGAUGUCUAUGGUCCCAGUUUGCCAACAAUGGUUUCACCAGAGAGCAGGCUACUAGAAAUGAUUGCAGAGACGAAAACCAUCAUCCCAACUGAAUACUUGGGUGUCAAACUGGUAUCAUUUGGAUUUGCUGGGCAAGGUCGUGCAAUUAUGCGGGGCC